GAAAGAGAAGGCAUUGGAGUGGAAGGACUAUCUCAGCAUGCGUUAUACUAAUGAUAGUGAAGCCCGCGAAGUUUGGCCUGAAGAAUGCAGGGAAGUUGCUCUCGAGUUUUUGAGAAUAUCAAUCAAGAUGGUGAGAAAAUUAGUCGAAAUUUUGAUGGGGAAGCUGGGAGUGACAUUAGAUGAUGCAAAAAUAGAUGCACUUAUUGGCUUGAAGAUGGUUAAUAUGAAUUUCUAUCCAAUAUGUCCAAAUCCUGAGCUCACAGUAGGCGUGGGUCGGCACUCAGAUUUGGGUACCCUUACCGUGUUGUUGCAGGAUGGAAUUGGCGGUCUAUAUGUGAAAGUG
rnacentral:misc_RNA from 1 species